AUAAAUAUCUGGCAGGAGGAACACUACAAACAAGAAGGUGGCUCCCACAACAUGAGGAUCUUCCACUGCACUUUGGUUGGGUUAACCCCUGUGAUUUCCCUACAUGUGGGAAACACAACUGCAUAAUUUAUGGUAGUGGCUGACUGAGUUCACUCUGUCCCCUG